CAAACUGCCACCGGAACUGCUUUAAAAAUGUUUGGUUCACAGCCUUCACUGGAUUACCUAUUGGAGCAAACAAAGUGUAACCAUGUAAAACCUGUGAGCUUGUAUUGAUAUCUCAUGGCUAGAGUUCCAAGCGAAUGGGUCUCAUGAGAUCUGAUGGUUUUGAAAAUGGGAGUUGCCCUGCACAAGCUCUCCUUUUGCCUGCUGCCAUCCACAUAAGAUGUGAUUUGCUCUUCCUUGCCUUCCACCAUGAUUGUGAGGCCUUCCCAGCAUGUGGAAAUUUGCAGGAAUUUAGCCAAUUCAGAGGUCUUGUUCUCCAUAAUUUGGAAUUUUCCUUCGGAUUUGAUCAAGUUGGAUAGAGUUGGUCAAACCCAAUGGGAAAAAGAUGAAAACAACAAGAAACAGAAACAAACAGCAACAACAACAACAACAAAAACAAUGCAUUUAAUUAAAUGAAGAUGAGCUCAUGCUGGAGUAGGGUGGACUCUGAACCCAGUGGGACAAGCGUCCUUAUUAAGAAGAGGGAAAUCUGGACACACACAGAGCAGAGACCGCCGUGUGAAGAUGGAGGCAGAGAUCGGAGAGAUGCUGCCACACGCCACAAAUGCCUGGGGCUCCCAGAAACUACACGGAGCCUCCCCCAGCGGCUUCAGCAGGAGCAUGGCUCGGCCAACACUUUGAUCUUGGUCUUCCAGCCUCCAGAACGUUUUCCUAAAAUUCCCUUUUCCACUGGUGUGUGGUGCAAGAUGAGGCACAUUUUCCAUGGAUGGUGAACAGAGGGAGGAGCCUUUUGAUCACAACCAGGUCACCCCACUUCUAAGCCACUGUGCCUCCAGCCCCACAAGACUAAGGAGAGAGAGCGCAGCGUGGUGGAGAGUGAGCUGUGCUGGGACCAUUGUUUCCGUAACCUCGUUUUCUGUGUCCAGCUGACACACCUUCAAAGUGGCAUCAGGUCCUAAACUGUAGCUUGCAAUGUGCCUGUUUCCAGAAACCAAGGUGAAAGUGCUUUUAGACAGUGUUCCCAUGCAAGAGUCCCUUCCCAGCUUUUUUCUGGAAAUGCAUGUUUCUCUGAACUCUGAGUCCCAAGAAAAAUCACUUGAGACACCAAGAAAAUGGGGGAAGUGCUAAAAUUGUGUGGGAAUUCAAGCUUAACAAUAAACAUCAAGACAUUUUUGAUAAAAAUGAAUCCACUGACAUCGGGGAGGAGCAAGAGAACAGCACGCUGACACUGGGUCAGAGGCUAAGACCGACAUUUCUGGGAACCACUCCCGGAAGGGCACAGAGGAGACGCUUUCAGCCUCUCAUCAGCCAGCCUGGCCUGUAGCUGCUGCACGUUAUGAGUGUGUUCCUGGCAUGACUGCUUCUAACAGCGACCAUUUCAUUAAGUUUUUAAGUGCCUGGUAAUUGCUUGGUUAUGACCGGUGUCUGCUCCAUGGCAGCCUCUUCCUGAAGAAAUGCUGAGGCAGUGUCACGCUGGUGUCUGUCCUCCUUACAGAAUGCCUGAACAGUUCCAUUGACUCAAAGUGAAGAUCAAAAGAACCAAAUGACAGCAAUAGCCAAGUGUAAUCAUCAGUAACCCUGUGUUCUAUCCACAGGUAAAAAACAAUCAUCCUCUUCAUUAUGGGUUUCAAUUUUAAAUGUAAUACAUUUUUAGAAAUGCCUAUUUCCUUUUAUAAUCUCUUUAUAUAAUCUAGGUUAUUCUGGCUCUUAGGUCUUCAUUUAGCUACUGAAAAGAUUUGAUCUCAAAUCAAUGAUCUAACCACCCAUGACCAUCUCCCACCUCUCUCCCCGUACACCCCCCAGCAUGAAUUCUGGGAACUCAGGUAAAAUGCUUUCUGGAAACCUGCCUGUAUUAGUCUGUUGUCAAGCUGCUAAUAAACACAUACCCGAAACUGGGUAGUUUAUAAAGGAAAGAGGUUUCCUUUAUAGUUCCACAUGGCUUGGGAGGCCUCACAAUCAUGGUGGAAGGCGAAUGAGAAGCAAAGUCACAUCUUGCAUGGCAGCAGGGAAGAGAGAGUUUGUGUAGGGGAACACCCCUUUAAAAAACCAUCAGAUCUUGUGACACUCAUUCACUGUCACGAGAACAGCACGGGAAAGACCCGCCCCCAUGAUUCAAUUACCUCCCAUGACACAAGGGAAGUAUAGGAGCUACAAUUCACAAUGAGAUCUGGGUGGGGACACAGACAAACCAUGUCACCGCCUAAAACCAACUCAAUAGUCUAAGGAAUUUGACUGGGGAGAAUCUGGAGAGGAUUUAAUUAAUUUGGCAAAAGGAUUAGCAAUUGAAUCUAAGUGAGAAAAGAGAAUUCUUGGAGGAAAAAAAGAUGUUUAGUUACACUGAGAAAUUAAAACCUGAAGUAAUUGCCUUUGAGAUUUUUUUCAGGAAAUGAGUAUUGAUUGCCUACUGUGUGUCAAAUUAUGUGUUUCAUGUCAAAGACUCCAAAGUAGAUAAGAUAUAGGCCCAGCCUUGGGGAGCUCAUUGAGUCACAGAGAAAGUUUGAAUGUUUCAGAGGAAUCAUCAAGAACAGGGGAUCAGCAAUCUAUUAUAUUUUAAUUGCGUCUUUUCAUGAUUAUAAAAGCAAUGCAUGCGUGCUGAAGAGAAUUUGGAAAAACAAAGAAGAAAUUAAAAAUCGUCUCUGAUCCUGCCACCAGAAAUAACCACUGUUAGCAAUUGUAUCACUUCUGUAGGUCUACAUGGUUAUCAUAAUAAGCUCUAGUAUUGAUUACAUGCAUCUCAUGUACCAGAGAUUAUGCUAGACUCUCAUUUAAUCUGUACAUUAGCCCUAUGAAGUAGGGACCAUCAUUCUCCUCAUUUUACAGAUGAGGAAACAGAGGCUUGGAGAGGUUACUCUGCCUAAAGUCUCAUAGCUAGCGAGUGGCAGAGAUUGGACUCACCCAAGCUUUGUCUUAUUCUCAAGCUCUCAACCAACCCGGUGGUGAGAAGAGCCAGCAGCAAAGCCUGUCAUCUUUGUCUUCUUUUUUUUUCUAACCUCAAAUCAGGGAGAAAAUGCCCUUUGUCAUUAGAAGGGCAAGGCAAUUCUGAAGACAGCCCAGUUGGCUUGUCUCCGAUUUGGCUUUCAGGGGCCUGUCUGAUACCUAUGGAGAGACGAGGGCUGAACAAGCUGUACUCUCAAAACAAAACAAAGCAAAACAAAACUUUAGUCUCUUUAGGGACUCUCUGAUAGUAAUGCAGAGGGAGAAAGGCUUUCUUUGUCUCACUGGGAGGAAGGUUCCCUACGGAAAUUGAAGGCAGUGCCUGUUGACAUAGCGCUGCCACCUGGUGGAAAUAAUGGUGUAGGACAUCAUGUCCAGCACCACUAGCGCUGAGACACUCCCUGGGAAGAGAAAUGUUUGGAGAGAAAUUUGCAAGAAGUUGGAAGUCUCGCAGUAGCAGGUAGGAACAAGAAUUAUAACUGCUACUGUGACCCCCUAAGGCUCCUCACAUCCUCUUAAGGCUUGGAGAAACUCACACUAUGUAUAUUUUCCUGUAUUUUUGAAAAAUGUUUUCCUUUAUGCUUUGUUGUAAUGAAAUUACCUCUGAUGGUCACAUACCUUAAAUAUUUAGUAUAUAUAUGAAUACUAAAUGUCCAUUUUCAGGAGUUAGUUUACCUGCAUCUAAAAUCAGGAAUAGGUCACAGAGUAACUGAGCAAAAAGUGCUGUUAGGUUUGUGCAUUUCACCCUUUGCCUGGGAUGAGAGGACCUCAAUCAUCUUGGUACUAAUGACAGGAAAAGUGCCCUCCUAUCCAUGUGUAUCGGCUACGUGACUCAAGUCUCCUUAUUUCCUUUUCUAGCAUAACAAGGGGUUGUUACUGUUGUUUUACAUCUGUGUUAAUGAGAUAAAUAAGUUUAAAAUAAAAAGAUGUGUACCAGGCA
rnacentral:lncRNA from 10 species